GAUGUUCCUAGAAGCACUGCAGGUGUGGCUGCUGUGUCUCAUGUGUGUUAGGGGGUCGCAAAGAGGAAGGAGACAUGGCUACCCUCAGAAUUCUGACCUCUGAACAUCUGAGAGAUUAAUAGCCUAACACU